UACGGAGGGGGCAAGCGUUGUUCGGAAUUACUGGGCGUAAAGGGCGCGCAGGCGGCUGCUCAAGUCAGGCGUGAAAGGCCUGGGCUCAACCCGGGAAUUGCGCUUGAGACUGGGCUGGCUUGAGUGCGGGAGAGGAUGGUGGAAUUCCCAGUGUAGAGGUGAAAUUCGUAGAUAUUGGGAAGAACACCGGUGGCGAAGGCGGCCAUCUGGACCGCAACUGACGCUGAGGGGCGAAAGCGUGGGGAGCAAACAGG
rnacentral:rRNA from 1 species